UGGACCUCCAGCCACGGCCAGGCCAGACUUGUGGACACAGGGGCAGUGUCACAUACAGACCACGGGGAGACAUGGCACUAGGGGACAAAUGGACUUGACGCCACAAUGCACAGGGCAGACCACAGAGCUCGACGGACAUGGGCAGGGGCCUUUUGGCAUUUCUCGCUGGAAUCAUGUGAGACAAGGGUGGUGGCCGCUCUGGAGGUGCCUGGGGGGUUCCCUCAUGACCUCUCUGGGCUUAGUCCGUCCUCCACACUGUUGUGCAGCUUCUCCACCGCCUGGUAGAGGAUAAAUACUGUUACCCUUAUCCCUGGUCACAUCCAGGGAGACGCGGUCCAGCGGCCCAGGCAGGGGACAGUGCCGUUGUAGAGGUCCUUGAGCCCCUCCUUCCUCAGUAUCUGCAGCCGUAGGCCGGUGUGUUCCGCAUUUGUGCUGCUCCAGGCCCCGCAUCCGGGUCUCGAUCCCAUCCAGAGGAGCGUUUCCCAAGACACUGGCUGCGCCCACAAUGGUUCCGAAGACCGCAGCGACCAGCGGGUCCAUGGGCUUGCUGGGGUUGUCCCCUCGGUACCAGUUGUGCAGGGAGGUCAGGAGGAGAAGCAGAGGGCCUGGUUCCAGCCCUGCUUCAGCGUGGGUGCCAUGAGGCCCCGGUGAGUCCCCUUGUUCUCGCACAAUCUCCCUAACCUGGUGGGAGACUCCUCUGCACUGGAGGUCUGGGAAGGUCUGGCCGUGGAUGAGCUUCACCUUGAUGGCGUCUAUGGAACAUACGACCACCAUGGCCUCGGCCACGCCAGCGCCCUGGCCGCACCGCAGCCAGCGCUGCUGUCAGGCAGUCCCUGGGCAUCGCGCGUCUGGCUGCUGUGGAACCGGAACAUUCAGAACCCAACGCCGCCCUGGAGACAGAGCCGCAGAGCAGGGAGCCGAGGCCGCGGUGCCGGCCCGGGACGCCGUGACCGCGACAGUGCGCACGCGGGAUCCAUGCGCGGUGCCCGGCUGGUGCCAGCGCUUGUCCUGCUGCAGCUACGACCUCCCGCGCUCCGUGGGGAGCGGACGCCCAUUUCAAUGCCGCCGGCCAGGCCGCCUGCUGGGGUCGCCUUCCCCGGAGCCUCCGCUGGGCCUUCCCGGACUCGGCGCGGCAUGGCCACGGCGGGCGGGAGGCGGGCGCCCGCUGUGAUCUGAAGUCCCAGCCUCCUAAACUCCGCACUGGGACCUUAAUUUGGUUUUAACACAAAUAAAGAUCUCACUAAAGAUAAAAAGGGAUGUCUUGGCUUCUAAUUUUUGUUAAAAGCAAUAGCAUUAUGUUGUAUAGGAUAGUGCAUUGGGGUAAAUCUUUAUUAUUUUUAUUUUUUCAUCAGCCCACUGACAUUGAAAGGGGAUAGUUUUUAGGUUAUUGACGAGCAGUUUUCUCUCAGAUAGGCCUUAGUGUAGGGGUUUGUGGUCACGUUGAUAAGAGGGUAGGCUGGGGUUAAAAGUCGUUAUGGCAGUAACAACCUUCUGAGGACCAGAAAAUUCAAAUCCCUCUCAUGAUACUUUGCUAAUAUCUCCCGAGUUUGCUGUGCCUUCCCUUUGUGCCUCUUCCCACAUGUGGUUUCUUGCACUUGGCCCAGCUAUAUUCCACUGUUUUGACUCCAUGCUUCUUAGCCUGGUGGCAGUGGUGAGGGAGUGAGGAGAUCUCUAAUGUUCUGAGGAAGCCUCAGACUUAGCACUGUAAACUGGGGUGUGGGGUUACUGACCAUUGAAGAGUUUCCUGCCCAUCCUGUAUAUGCAAUGCCAGGACAAAAGCAUAUUCCUGUCCCUCCUUGUCCAUGGUAGGGGAAACAUGCUCUUUCUCCAUGCUCUUAACUCCCAGUUGAAGUGGGCCUUGAACAGUGCCCUGUAAAUUAAUGGUUUCUUUUCUUUAUGGGAGAUGCAUCUGUGCAGAAAUGCGGGUGUUGGCCUUGUUCCUUCACCCUGAGUUCCAUGAGUUUUUCCCCAGUGCCCUUUGGCUCAGGUUUGGAUGCUCUUUCUCCACAGAUUAGGCCGUAUGUUAUAUAGGAGAGAUGUGAGGGCUGUGUCUCCAGAGUUGCAGGAGUGGAUGGGAUAGUGGUCCCUCCCCAUCAGCACUGUGGGACGUCUCAAGUAUUGCUGUGUGUUUCAAGUGGAGGAGGUCAGAUUACAACUGACAUUUGUCCUUGACUACUGGACAUAUCACACCAGCCCUGAUUGCAGUUAUACUUGAAGCCAGAUCUACCCUUAACAUAUAUUCGUUUUACUAUUCAAUAAAUAUUAACUUAUCCUGAA
rnacentral:lncRNA from 1 species